rnacentral:lncRNA from 1 species
GGCUGGUGAGAAUGGAAUUGUAGGGCUCAACCACAGAAGUGGAAAUCUGGUGUCUGGGUAAAUGGAACAACUCCAGUUUGGACUUCUUUUCAUAAUCAACAGACAGCUGCUCCAUCAGCAAGAAGGGGAACCCAGAGCCAGUUCCCCUGCCACAGCUGUGGAAAACCAAGAAACCCUGACAACCCAUGCACUGAAGUAGAAGAGGCACAGUGUAGGCUCCUCAGGCAUCACUUGGAGGAAGCGCGGAGCUCAGGCUAUUUAAACUCUAGAAAAUCUACAUGUCUUCUUCAGGAUGGACUUGGAGUUUAAGGAGCGUACAAAGCUGGGGGACUAGAAAGCCAUAAAGAAGGAAAUCAAAACUGUUUCAAAAUGCUCACUGCUCACAAAGGCAAACUGAGGCUGUCAUCAUACUUAAUGGAGUAGUGUUCAGUUCCCAAGUGCAAAGCCCUGCUUUCAACCUUUAGCACAUUCUAUCCAAGGAAACCCAACAAUACUGAAAGCAUGAUAAUUGAGAAGAAUAUUGAAGGGUCUUGUUUUACCAGGCAUCUAAAUUUACCCCAGUGACUCUAUUUUCCCCAAAGCCUAGAACUGUUGCUUCUGGAGCCUAGAAAGAUGGCUCAGCAGUAGAGUGGGGCUGAGGUUGAUUUCUAGCACCUCCAUUGGGCAGCUCACAGUUACCUGUAGCCUCCGGAGGAUGCUCUCCUCCACAGGCAUUCAUGAGCACAUGCCCCUCCUACAUGCACAUGAUUCAAGAUAAAAACAAAUCUUUUAAAAAAAUGAACCAUUUCUUCUGGACUCAGGGCUCUUCAGGAAGGCUUUGGCUACAGCAAGGCUGACUUUGCUUCCAAUUCUUUGUUCCUGCUAUAGAUAGAAGAAGAAAUCGUCUGCUUGUAAGCUUGGGAGAUGGUAUCAAACCGGUCUGGUUCAGCCACCAUAACCUUGUCUCACAGCUCCCCAUCUAGGGCUUUCUUUAAGGAGCUAUACUGAUGAACAUUUAAAACUUAUUCUAGUUGUAAGUUCAGCAGGGCACAUUCCAUACAUUGGUAGUGCUGGUGAAAGUUAUCUAUAGCUUGGUAAGUCAUAUUCUGAGAUUCUUGUGUUUGCUCAUCUCACCUAUUUCAGUCUCCACUUAGGUUACAUAUAGUACUAUUUUUUUUUGUCUGUUCCUUUGAUUGUUCCACAAUUGCUCCCACCAUGUAAAGGUGAAAAAAUAUUAGUGUCCCAACAUCCGGCGAGGGUGGCAUUGCUCCACAAGUAUAUAAAUAAGAUAGGCACAAUGCAGAAAGUAGGGUAUUCUGCAGACAUUAAA